rnacentral:rRNA from 1 species
GAUGAACGCUGGCGGCAUGCCUAAGACAUGCAAGUCGAACGAGGUGGCCCAAAGAAGAUUGAGUGCUUGCACAAGAUUGGACUUGGAUUACCACCUAGUGGCGGACGGGUGAGUAACACGUAGGUGACCUGCCUUUGAGUUUGGGAUAACUAUUAGAAAUGAUAGCUAAUACCGGAUUAAAUGCAGAUUCGUUUCUGUAUUAAAAGGAGCCUUUAAAGCUUCGCUUAAAGAUGGGCCUGCGGCGUAUUAGCUAGUUGGUGAGGUAAUGGCUUACCAAGGCGACGAUGCGUAGCCGAACUGAGAGGUUGAUCGGGCCACAUUGGGACUGAGACACGGCCCAAAAUCCUACGGGAGACAGCAGUUAGGAAUAUUCGUCAAUGGGGAAACCCUGAACGAGCAAUGCCGCGUGAACGAUGAAGGCCCUAUGGGUUGUAAAGUUCUGUUGCAUGGGACGAUAAUGACGGUACCUAACAAGAAAGCAACCGGCUAACUACGUGCCAGC